rnacentral:rRNA from 1 species
AGAGCGUAGAGUGAAUGCCUUGGCAUUGGGAGCCGAUGAAGGACGUGGUUAACUGCGAAAAGCUACGGGGAGUCGUAAGCAGACAUUGAUCCGUAGAUGUCCGAAUGGAGCAAUCCGCAUGGAGUUAGUCCAUGCAUCCAUAAGUGAAUUCAUAGCUUAUGGAGGGGAACCGCCUGAACUGAAACAUCUAAGUAGGGCGAGGAAGAGAAAUCAAACGAGAUUCCGCUAGUAGUGGCGAGCGAACGCGGAAGAGGCCAAACCAGAAGCAGCAAUGUUUCUGGGGUUAGGACUGCAUUUAGCAUUGACAAUGGUUAGCCGAACUGCAUGGGAAGGCAGACAAGAUAGGGUGAGAGUCCCGUAGGCGAAAACUUGAGUCAGCGAGCAGGAUCCAGAGUACCGCAAGACACGUGAAACCUUGUGGGAAGAUGGGGGGACCACCCUCCAAGCCUAAAUACUACCCAGUGACCGAUAGCGCAAAGUACUGUGAAGGAAAGGUGAAAAGGACCCCGGGAGGGGAGUGAAAUAGAACCUGAAACCCUGUGCCUACAAGCACCGAGAGCACGUCAAAGUGUGAUCGGGUACCUAUUGUAGAAUGGUCCGGCGAGUGUGUGUAACCAGCAAGGUUAAGAGCUUAAGGCUCGGAGCCGCAGCGAAAGCGAGUCUGAACAGGGCGUAUGAAGUUGGUUGUACACGACCCGAAACCGGGUGACCUACCCAUGUCCAGGAUGAAGUGGAGGUAAAACUCCAUGGAGGUCCGAACACACGUCCGUUGAAAUGGCCGGUGAUGAGGUGUGGGUAGCGGAGAAAUUCCAAUCGAACCCGGAUAUAGCUGGUUCUCUCCGAAAUAGCUUUAGGGCUAGCGUUGUCUUAGAUUACCGGGGGUAAAGCACUGAACGGGCUAGGGGCUGAAAAGUUACUGAACCCUAUCAAACUAAGAAUACCGGAUAAUCGAUGGACGGCAGUCAGACUAUGAGAGAUAAGUUCCAUGGUCAAAAGGGAAAGAGCCCAGACCCACAGCUAAGGUCCCAAAGUACAGUUAAGUGGAAAAGGAUGUGGAAUUGCACAGACAACCAGGAUGUUGGCUUAGAAGCAGCCACUCAUUUAAAGAGUGCGUAAUAGCUCACUGGUCGAGUGAUUCUGCGCCGAAAAUUUCCGGGGCUAAAACUUACUACCGAAGCUACGGCAUCAUUAUGAUGGGUAGGGGAGCUUUCUAUGCGGCUUGAAGCAUGACCGUAAGGACAUGUGGACUGCAUAGAAGUGAGAAUGUUGGCAUGAGUAGCGAGAUGUGGGUGAGAAUCCCACAGGCCGUAAACCCAAGGUUUCCAGGGGAAGGUUCGUCCGCCCUGGGUUAGUCAGGACCUAAGCCGAGGCCGAAAGGCGUAGGUGAUGGACAACAGGUUGAUAUUCCUGUACCACCAAUAACCGUUUGAGAAAUGGGAUGACACAGUAGGAUAAGCUAACCGCACUGUUGGUUAUGUGCGGGCAAGUAUUGAGGCAGUUCCGAUAGGCAAAUCCGUCGGAAUAAUGCUGGGGUACGAUGCGGAGCGAAAUUAAGUAGCGAAGUAGCUGAUUUCACACUGUCGAGAAAAGUCUCUAUCGAGGUUAAAGGUGCCUGUACCGCAAACCGACACAGGUGGGUGAGGAGAGUAUCCUAAGGCCAGCGAGAGAACUGUUGUUAAGGAACUCGGCAAAAUGACCCCGUAACUUAGGGAGAAGGGGUGCCUUCGAAAGAAGGCCGCAGAGAAUAGGCCCAAGCGACUGUUUACCAAAAACAUAGGUUUCUGCUAAGUCGCAAGACGAUGUAUAGGAGCUGACGCCUGCCCGGUGCUGGAAGGUUAAGGGGAUCUGUUAGAGCAAUCGAAGCAGUGAACUUAAGCCCCAGUAAACGGCGGCCGUAACUAUAACGGUCCUAAGGUAGCGAAAUUCCUUGUCGGGUAAGUUCCGACCCGCACGAAAGGCGUAACGAUUUGGGCACUGUCUCAACAACAGACUCGGUGAAAUUGUAAUACCGGUGAAGAUGCCGGUUACCUGCGACAGGACGGAAAGACCCCAUGGAGCUUUACUGUAGCUUGACAUUGAGUCUCGGUGCUACAUGUACAGGAUAGGUGGGAGACUAUGAAGCAUGGACGUCAGUCUGUGUGGAGUCAUCCUUGGGAUACCACCCUUGUAGUACUGGGAUUCUAACCAGAGGCCAUGAAUCUGGUCUUGGGACACUGUCAGGUGGACAGUUUGACUGGGGCGGUCGCCUCCCAAAAAGUAACGGAGGCGCUCAAAGGUUCUCUCAGUACGGUCGGAAAUCGUACGAAGAGUGUAAAGGCAAAAGAGAGCUUGAUUGCAAGACAUACAGGUCGAGCAAGGACGAAAGUCGGACUUAGUGAUCCGGUGGUUCCGCAUGGAAGGGCCAUCGCUCAACGGAUAAAAGCUACCCUGGGGAUAACAGGCUUAUCUCCCCCAAGAGUCCACAUCGACGGGGAGGUUUGGCACCUCGAUGUCGGCUCA